UACGGAGGGGGCUAGCGUUGUUCGGAAUUACUGGGCGUAAAGCGCGCGUAGGCGGACCUGCAAGUCGGGGGUGAAAGCCCGAGGCUCAACCCUCGGAACUGCCUUCGAUACUGCGGGUCUCGAGUCCGGGAGAGGUGAGUGGAAUUCCUAGUGUAGAGGUGAAAUUCGUAGAUAUUAGGGAGAACACCAGUGGCGAAAGCGGCUCUCUGGAACGGUACUGACGCUGAGACGCGAAAGCGUGGGGAGCGAACAGG
rnacentral:rRNA from 1 species